AUUCCUUCACAUUAACACCAGUAUUCUGUACUUCACAAGAUGGUAGUUUCAACUAUUUCAGUAGCCAGCCACUGAAGAAUUUACCGAUAUACCUCCUAAAGGAGGCAAAGGAAAAGCUUUAUGCUUAAAAAUAGGGCUUGUUUCCAAAAAGUGGUUGUUGUAACAUGCUCCGGAUCACACGCGCAGGCCAAUACAUCCCCACACAAAAAGAUCUAUUUAGACCUGCGGUUGAGAACAUACAAAGCAAACAAUUAUUCAGGCGUUCGUGCAGCGAGGAAGCUGCAUUCGCUCACGUACUCGCGAAUGAUUUACAAGCCACCAAAAAGGCACGACUCCGAAACCGCACGUAGACGCGAUGAUUCAGCGUGAGCCGAGAGGAGAGUGCGAGCGCAGAUACAGGGACCGGAGCCUGAGCCUGAGCCGGAGCCGGAGCCGCCUGCUGCUCGCCUUGCCCCCGACCAGGCGGUGCUGCGCACAGACAGUGGCUGCACGCGGCCAAUUGUUCUCCACAGCAAUGGGCAGCAGCCGGGGAAGAAUGCGGCUCCUGCCUUUGUGAUGGUCCUCCAGAAACGCCUCGUGCUAAAUCUCAUAGAGAUCAAAGAGUUAUGGAAGUCCUGACAACCUCUUUAGAAAGUCAGCAUAUAGAAGAAAUAAUGUUAUACUGUAGACUCUGAUGCAAAUAAUUCUACUUGGAUGAAGAAAUGAUGGCAUGGACCAAGGUGAAUGUUCUGCCAUUUCAAGAUACCUGAGACAAAAGAAAUUCUGGUGAAACCUAUAGAAAAAGGAGAAUAAACUUUACAGUUAAGCAGUGGGGAUGAGAGGCAGGAUAAUGGAAUGCUGCUCUUGCAGAAUAUGGGAAGGCAGGAAGACCUCCAGGAUGCCUGACAACUACACAUGUAAGAGGUGCAUCGGGCUUCAGCUUCUUUCAGAUCGUGCUAAGAAAUUGGAGCUGAAACUGGAUGAAAUCUGAAUCAUUCAGGAGGCUGAGGGGUUAAUAAGACAGAACAUACAGGGAAACAGUCACACCCAAGAUGCAGGACACAGCUAACUAUGUGACCAUCAGGAGGAGAAAAGGGGAUAGGCAGCUAGUGCAGAGUACCUCUGUGUUCAUUGCUAUCAACAACAGUUAGACCACUUUGGAUACUGUUGGGGGGAGGUGUAUGACCCAACACAGGAAGGCCACAGCAUCUGGGUGUCCAACACUGUGGCUAAGAAGGGGAGGGGAGAGAACAGGCAAGCUGCAGUGAUGGGAGAUACAUCGGUUGAGGAAAAGACUGGAGGUUCUGUGGAUGAGAGCUAGAUUCCUGUAUGGUAUGUUACAUCCUAGGUGCCAGGGUUAGUGACUUCUCGGAUCAAGUUCACAGCAUUCUUACAAACACAAGGAAAUCUGCAAAUGCUGGAAAUCCAAUUUGUGUGUAUGUUGCCACAGCAUUCUUCAGUGGUUGUGUGAGUAGCCAGAGUUCAUGAUCUCCAUUGCUACCAAUGACAUGAGUAGGAAGGGUGAUGUGGUCCUGCAAAGUAAGUUCAGAGAGUUGGGGGCAGUGAGACAGGAAUCAUGGUUGGGAAGAGGGAAAGGAGUGGAAAGCACCAGAAUGACAUUCUAUAAUGAUUGAUCAACCAUUUGUUUUGAAUUAAAUGACCUUGCUGGGUGUCUGUGUACUUGUGCCACUCCUUCUCUGCCACAUAUCCCACAUCCCUCCUGUGGCACUCAAAUCUGGCCAUUUCCAGCAUCAUUUACUCCCACCAGAUUUACAAACUUGCUCUGUGCUCCAUGUUGACACGUGCGGUAUUGUACUGUGCAAAAGUCUUUGGCAUGGACAUGGGUGCCUCAUAAUUUUGCACAGUAUUGUAUUAAGUGCAAAAGUUACAGGGAAAGGUUGAACAAGUUAGGUCUUUAUUCUUUGGAGCGUAGAAGGUUGAGGGGGGACUUGAUAGAGGUAUUUAAAAUUAUGAGGGGGAUAGAUAGAGUUGAUGUGGAUAGGCUUUUUUCAUUGAGAGUAGGGGAGAUUCAAACAAGAGGACAUGAGUUGAGAGUUAAGGGGCAAAAGCUUAGGGGUAACACGAAGGGGAACUUCUUUACUCAGAGUGGUAGCUGUGUGGAAUGAGCUUCCAGUAGAAGUGGUAGAGGAAGGUUUGGUAUUGCCAUUUAAAGUAAAAUUGUAUAGGUAUAUGGACAGGAAAGGAAUGGAGGGUUAUGGGCUGAGUGCAGGUUGGUGGGACUAGGUGAGAAAGUGUUCGGCACGGACUAGAAGGGCCAAAAUGGCCUGUUUCCGUGCUGUAAUUGUUAUAUGGUUAUUUGAUUGCCACCUUAUUUGAUAUAGGCAAAAGACUUCACUAUGUCAAGAUUAGAUGAAACCAUUGAUACUACUUUUCCUGUUGGGCAUGGUGACAGCACAUUCGGGUACUUAAACAACAGAUUUUUUGGUGUCCAGUUUGUUACAAUCAUGAAAGUUGAGUUCAGGUAAUUUGUCUUUUCCCACCUUGUCAGAUUGGACUUUCUAACAUUCUAAACUGGAUGAGGAAGUAGAAGAGUGCCAGAAAGAUAUGAGCAUUGAAAAUGUGAAAGAUGAACAUAAUUCAUUAUGGCUAUGUACUGUAUCAUCAUGUACUGUAGUGGUCCCCAACCACCGGGCCACAAGGA